AAAAAAAAAAAAAAAAAAAAAAAAGCUCAUGAAAAAUCUUAUAGCCAUCGCCAAUCGCCGCUUUUACCCAUAGCAGGUUGGUCGUUCUUUCCCAUCAGGAAUGGUAUUCUCUUCACUUGCUGCGGAAGGCAGCCCCGCGCAUCACGGGGGGCCCUGCCCACGGGGCGCCCCGCUUCCACCCGGGCCGAGGCCGAGCCCCGGGGGAGGCCUGAGCCGAGCCCCCCGCUCUUUCUGGGAGGCCUGAGCCCCGCGCCCCACCGCCCCCCUGCGCACCUCCAGCCCCAGCGCCCCGAUCCCUCGCGCCCCUGCACACCUCCAGCCCCCGACCCCCCGCGCCCCGCAUACCUCCAGUUCCGACCCCCCGCGCCCCUGCACACCUCCAGCCCCCGACCCCGCGCCCCUGCACGCCCCGAGCCCCCGCCCCCCCGCACGCCCCGAGCCCCCGACCCCCGCGCCCCUGCACGCCCCGAGCCCCCGACCCCCGCCCCCUGCACACCCCAGCCCCCGCCCCCCCGCACACCUCCAGCCCCCAAGCCCCGCCCCGCCCCCGCCGCACACCUCGAGCGCCCGUCGCCACCUGUUCCCGCUGCUUCCCCUUCGCGGGCCUGCGCCCUGACCCGGGUCGGCAGCCCCGCAGGGGCCGGGGCCGGGGCCCGGGGCUCGGGCGGGAGUCGCCGCUGCGCCCCUCGGGCCGGCGGGUCGGGCCGCACGUCCUCGGCUCGGGCCCCGCGGCUCCGUCGAGGCAGCUGCGCCCCGGCCCCCGGCCCCCCGGCCCCGCGCUCGGCGGCGCCGCCCGGCAGCGGGCACAGCGGUGCUCCAGGAGGCGAACCGAACCCCUGCGGCCUCGGCGGCCCGAGGACCGCUCCGCGCCCCGGGGGAGGCGGGGGGCCCGGGCGCGGGCAGAGCCGCGCCGGGCGGUGCAGCCGAGGAGCCGCCGCCGCGCUCCCCUCCCCGCCCGCUCCCCUCCCCGCUCCCCUCCCCGCUCCCCUCCCUCGCGCCCGGCUCCCCUCCCCGCCCGCCCGGGCCGCCCCCGCCCCGCCCCGCCCGCCCCGCCCGCCCCCGGAGGAGCCGGAGCGAGCCUCCCGCCGCCAGCCGCGUCUCCGCCGCCGCCCCGCGCCCCCGGCCCCUCCCCCCGCCCCCCCGCGGUCGGGGGCAUAA
rnacentral:lncRNA from 1 species